UGUACCUGGUGGCGAGCGGCGGACGGGCUGAGUAAUGCCUAGGAAUCUGCCUGGUAGUGGGGGAUAACGCUCGGAAACGGACGCUAAUACCGCAUACGUCCUACGGGAGAAAGCAGGGGACCUUCGGGCCUUGCGCUAUCAGAUGAGCCUAGGUCGGAUUAGCUAGUUGGUGAGGUAAUGGCUCACCAAGGCGACGAUCCGUAACUGGUCUGAGAGGAUGAUCAGUCACACUGGAACUGAGACACGGUCCAGACUCCUACGGGAGGCAGCAGUGGGGAAUAUUGGACAAUGGGCGAAAGCCUGAUCCAGCCAUGCCGCGUGUGUGAAGAAGGUCUUCGGAUUGUAAAGCACUUUAAGUUGGGAGGAAGGGCAUUUACCUAAUACGUAAGUGUUUUGACGUUACCGACAGAAUAAGCACCGGCUAACUCUGUG
rnacentral:rRNA from 1 species